GGAUCUCACUAAUAUGCUAAUGGCCCAUGUCUUUCAAGGGAAGGCAAGGGGGUCCCCAGGUGGACAGCAGGCUUUCUGAGGUGUGCAUGGAGGGAGCGUGAACCCAUGUCCUUUGUACAGUGCGGGCAAGGGGAGGAUACAAGUUGGGAACGGCAGAAAUGCCUUCAGGAGAUGCACUCUCAGUUCUUUCAGCAUGUUGGAGUCUUUGGACGUGCUGGCUUGAAUUCAAGACGGUGCUUUCUAAACCCAUUUCGGCCGUUCCUUCGAGAACCUUCAUUUACUUAAGGAGUGAGACCAUUUUCCUCAGCAUUUAUCCAGAAAUGGAUUGUAUUACUUGUCAUUAAAAGUAUCUCAAAAGUAACACCGUGGGAAGAGACAAAUCAGGUGGGUAUCAAUUUUUCUACUAUUGUUUUUCUUUUUCUUUUUUUCUUUUUUCUGCUUUUUAGGGUCACACCUGUGGCAUAUUCGAUCCCAGGCUUGGGAUCGAAUUGGCGCUGCAGCUGCCAGCCUACACCACAGCCACAGCAACACAGGAUCUGAGCCACAUCUUCAACUUACACCGCAGCUCACAGCAAUGCCAGAUCCUCAACCCACUGAGCGAGGCCAGGGCUUGAAGCCGUGUUCUUAUGGAUAAUAGUCCAUGAGGUUCAUUACCACUGAGCCAUAAUGGGAACUCCUCCACUGUCAUUUGUAACAAGAUCAUUUGUUUUUUUUUGUUUUUAUGGCUGUACCUGUGGCACAUGGAAGUUCUCAGGUUAGGGGGUUGAAUCAGAGCUGCAGCUGCAGGCCCUAUGCCACAGCCAUGGCAACACUAGAUCUGAAGCAUAUCUGUAAGCUACACCACAGCUUGUGGCUGGAUUCUUAACUGAAUUUUGGUUAAGACUCUUAGUUACAAGUGACUGAAACUCCACUCAAACCAGCAUAUGCAAUAAAGGGAAUUUGUGGGCUCACAUAGUUGGGAAGCCUCAGUGGGUAGAGCAGGAAGAACUGGAUCAGAGAUUCAGACAUGGCCAUGGGACUCUCCUUCCACACCCCUUGCCUCUGUUCAUCUCUGCUUACACUUUUGGAUUGAAUAGUUUUUUUUUUUUUAAAGUAUCUUACUUGAGAAUUCUAGUGAGGUAGAGAACUUUGGUUAGAUUAGCAUGUGCCAGAUGGCUGGCUGGUAUUUUGGUCACUAACAGUGCAAGUGAUGGAAAAACUUUGGAGAAAAUUAUAAAAAGUCAUCUUCUUGCGCCCCAUCCCCCUACUUUUCUGGGACAAAAGUGUCAAACACUGGGCAUAAAACAUGAAACUGAGGCCCUGGGAGUUGGGGGCACUGCCCAGCAUCAUACACUAGUGCAUGGAUAUUUGUCUUCAGACCUGUGCUCUUAGCCGUUAAGUUAAACAGAGUUGCCUGAUAUAAUAAUUAGUGAUAAUGUCUAAUGAAUGGAUAGAUAUUGUUGCAAAGAUAUUAAACACAUGAGAAAGAAGGAAAGAGGGAAAAUACCACUUCAUAAUUUCCCCCCAUAUUCGAUGAUUCCCAGCCCAGCUUCCAAGGGUCCAGCAGAGUCCAUCAGGGUUGGGAAAGGAUUUGCCUGGGUCACAUCAUGGCUGAGCCCAAAAUAGUCAGUUUGGGUUCAAGGCUACCCACUAAUUCAACCCUUGGGAGUUUAGUUCAGGGAUGGAGCUUGGGAGCAAGAGUGGGGUCCACUUCUGGAAAGAACAGGAAAAAUUUGAGGAGGAGGAGACACUGCUUGAACUCCCUCGGUGGCUCUGACCUGAGCACCAAGUCUGGAAAAGUUCAGCCCCUCUGUGACCCUCUGCGGGCUGCUCUGGGACCAGGCCUCCUUGGGUUGACCAGUGUGUUCAUCCCUCACGGAACUAGAGAGGAUGGACGGAUCUUGAACUCCCAGGACUAAAACGGACUUUAGGGAGGGCUGGAUGAAAUGUGGGAUGGGGAGAUACGUAUGAGUUUGUCUCCCUUUGCAAUUUUUUUUUUUUUGCUUUUGUUAUUUUAAAAUUGUUGUUAAAUAUAUAUAACGUAAAAUUGACCAUUUUCUCUUUUUUAUGGAAAUAUAGUUGAUUUACAGUGUUUCAGGUAUACAGUAAACUAAGUUAUAUAUGUGUGUGUGUGUGUAUGUGUGUGUGUGUGUAUUCUUUUUCAGUCUUUUCCAUUAUGUGUUACUACAAGAUAUUGAAUAUAGUGCCCUGUGCUAUGCAGUAGGUCCUUGUUACCUAUCAAUUUUAUAUAUGGUAGUGUGUGUCUGUUAACCCAAAUUCCUAAUUUAUCCCUCCUACAAUUCCCCUUUGGUAACUAUACAUUUGUUUUCUUUUUCUUUUUGCUUUUUAGGGCAUAUGGAGAUUCUCAGGCUAGGGGUCUAAUCUGAGCCACAGCUGCUGGCCUACACCCCAGCCACAGCAAUGUGGGAUCUGAGCCAUGUCUGCAACCUACACCACAGCUCACGGCAACAUCAGGUCCUUAACCCAUUGAGUGCGGCCAGGGAUCGAACCCGCAACCUUGUGGUUCCUAGUGGGGUUCGUUUCUGCUGUGCCACAACGGGAACUCUACAUUUGUUUUCUAUGUCUGUGAGUCUGUUUCUUAUUUGUAAAUAAGUUCACUUCUGUCAUUUUUUUGGAUCCCAUUUAUAAGUUAUAUCAUGUGAUACUUGUCUUUCUCUGACUUCGCUUAGUGAUAGGUCUAUCCAUGUUGCUACCAAUGGCAUUAUUUCAUUCUUUUUACGGCUGAGUAAUAUUCCAUUGUGUAUAUGUACCACAUCUUCUUUAUCCAUUCUUCUGUUGAUGGGCAUUUAGGUUGCUUCCAUGUCUUGGCUAUUGUAAAUAGUGCUGCUCUGAACAUUGGGGUACACGUAUCUUUUCAAAUUAAGAGUUUUCAUCUUUUCUGGAUCACAUGGUAAUUCUGUUUUUUGUUCUCUGAGUUACUUCUAUACUGUUGUCCAUAGUGGCUGCAAAAGUGACCAUUUUUAUGUGUACAGUUCGGUGGAAUUAAAUACACUCUCCAUGUUGUGCAACUAUCACCACUAUCUAUUUCUAAAACUUUUCCAUUUUCCCAAAGAGAAAUGCCCCAUUCCCCUUCCCCCCAGCCCCUGGUCACCUCUGUUCUACUUUGUAAAUUUGGCUACUCGAGUUUCCUCAUGUCAGUGGAAUUGUAAGAUAUAUGUGCCUUUGUGUCUUGGCUUCUAUCAUUCAGCAUAAUGUGCUCAAGCUUCCUCCACGUAGUGUGGGUCAGAACUUCAUUUCUUUGUUAAAACUGGAAGACUGGAGAGGAGAUGGCAUGAGAUGGUCUGGGCUUGCCCGCCUCUGCAUAGCACAGGCUUCCUGCCCUUGAAGUUCCAAGUUGUUGCUUGGCGGCAUCCUUGCCAGUUCCCAAGGCCAGUGAGUGGUGUGAUUCAUCGCGCAUCAGAAAAACAAAGGUUCCUCUCACCCCAACCUCGUCCCCAAUUCUUUCUCUUCAAAAUACAGAGACUAGAAGAUCUACUUGGUUUAACAGUGAGUGGGGGACAGUGGAAGUCAAGGUAGAAAAGACCUGUUAAUUAAUUAUUCACACUUUGCUACGAAUCAGGGUCAUCUGAUCUUUCUUCAGUGCCCUCAGCAGAACCAAGACAAUAGGAAUUACAGAGUUGGAACAGAAAGUAGGGUAAGGCUGAAGUUGUGGAGCCCAGGUGUGGCAGCCUUAUUCCGAUACCAUCAAAGCCCCAGGCGUGUGGGGAGAAGGAAGGAGAGACUGGAUACCUGGAAUUUCUCCUCUGAGGAGAAACCAGAGGAAAUGGCCUUGCUCUGGCUUGUCUUAGCACCAGACCGGACACCUCUCUUGCCCACCCAGCGGCUGUCAUUUAAAGCAUUUAAGGGAGCUCCCCUUGUGGUUCAGUGGUAAAAGACUUGGCUAGGAUCCAUGAGGAAGCGGGUUUGAUCCCUAGCCUUGCUCAAUGGGUAUUGCCGUGAGCUGUGGUGUAGGUUGCAGAUGGGGCUUAGGCCCCACAUUGCUGUGGCUGUGGCUUAGAUCCAUGACUGCAACUCCCUAGCCUGGGAACUUCCAUAUGCCACAGGUGUGGCCCUAAGAAGAACCAAAAAAAAAAAAAAAAAAA
rnacentral:lncRNA from 1 species